GGGAUGUAUCUGUGUUCUGUUCCAGGACUUGAGUGAACCCCCCGUCUUGGAACCUGAGCUGAGCCUGGUCUAUCUCAGUACCUGGGUACACCCUGCCCUAGUAGAACGUUCACAAUCAGGAGGCAAAUGAAAAUGAAGAGAGGUGUCAGGGAAGAGCUAACUGCCGAGAGAGGAAACCUGGGAAGGGGAGGAGAGGGAUGACUUGAAAAGAUGGACCUUCUCCAGCUGGAGCAGGGAAGGAGAGAAACUGACGGAGCUGCAUCAGUGGAUGAUGGAGGCACACCACGGUGGACACAAGCACACGCAGGAGGUGUGAGAAAAGGCUGGAAAAUGAGACAGAAAAGGGCCGGGAUCUCUCUGCACCACACUGGUGGAGAAUAUUCAUGAUAGUAAUCAUGAUUCGACUCAAUAAAAACCACGGUCUCUACCACGCACUGCA